GAUGAACGCUGGCAGCGUGCCUAAUACAUGCAAGUCGAGCGAACAGACGAGGCGCUUGCUCCUCUGACGUUAGCGGCGGACGGGUGAGUCACACGUGGAUACCCUCCCUAUCAGACUGGGAUAACUUCGGGAAACCGGCGCUAAUACCGGAUAAUAUAUUGCACCGUAUGGUUCAUUAGUGAAAGACGGUUUUGCUGUCACUUCUAGAUGCAUCCGGGCCGCAUUAGCUAGUUGGGAAGGUAACGGCUUACCAAGGCAACGAUGCGUAGCAGAACUGUGAGGGUGGUAGGCGACACGGGAACGGAGACACGGUCAAGGGGACUACGAGAGGGAGCAGUAGGGAAUGGUACGCAAUGGGCGAAAGCAUGACGGAGCAGCGGCGAGUGAGAGAUGGAGGUCUUCGGAUCGUAAAACUCUGUUAUGAGGGAAGAACAAAUGUGGAAGUAACUAUGCACGGCGUGACGGUAAUGAAUCAGAAAGCCACGGCUAACUACGUG
rnacentral:rRNA from 1 species